rnacentral:lncRNA from 1 species
UAGUCUAUGCACCACAAUCUCAGUAUCCAACCCAGGCAUAUCUUGAUAAGACCAGGCGAAUAUCUCCACAUACUCUCUCAGCAUCUCAAUAAAUUUGCUCUUGACCUCUGUCUUCAAAGCAGCCCCGAUCUUGAUAUCUCUUCAGGCGUCCUCAGUACCAAGAUUAACAAUCUCCAACUCCUCCUGAUGAGGUUGGAUGACC